rnacentral:rRNA from 1 species
GCCGACAGUCAUAGGAGCGGGGGAAACACCCGGACUCUUUCCGAACCCGGAAGUUAAGCCCCGUUCCGUUCUGCGUUGUACUGGGUUCCGAGAGGGCCCGGGAAGCGCAGAAACUGUCGGCC